CAAGUUGGUCAAGAGUUUUAUUGUACAUUCAGCUCAAGAUGGACUUCACAUUUUUGUUCAUUAUUGAAUGAUCCCCGAAUGUGAGCAUCUUCAUGAGAAAUCCAUUUAAAAGGUAUUCUAUUUAUGUAAGCUCAUGAUGUUUUGGAGCACAUGCAGUGUGUCUGUCUACACUAUUACUGCCUUCUGAAGCAGUAAGUUAUCAAAUUCUCUCUCUCUUUUUUAAAAUAAAGUUAUGAAACACAUGACCAUUGUUCAUUAUAUCAAAUAUAGAAGUUAGAGCAGUAUAUGAGAAAUAUAAGUCUAUUUUGAAAUGGACUCUUAAUCUGCACAUAACAUGCAGGAGAAGCACAAGCCUAAACUUGUGUUUCAAAUCUCCCCUAAAUUCUUCCAGUAUACAGUAACCUCCAGUGAUACUGUGACUAUGGCACUGUACCAAAUCAGUUAGCAGAAAAACCCCUUACAAAACAAUAUUAAGGGGCCUUUAAAAAAAAUUCAGAUCACGCUACUGCUAUUUAAGGAGCAACCAUAUUUUGUUUUUAAAAAUUAAUUAGUUAAGAAAAAUCCAAGUUGACAGUGUCCCUUUAAUGUCUUGAGUGCAUUACAAUCUGCAUGUUAGCCUUAGAAGCAUUAAAUAUUAUAUUUUAUAUACGUUCUUAUACCACACUCAUCAUCAUAGUACCCAAGCGCUCCCCAGUAGUGCAUUACGCAACACGACUAUACAUCUGUAAUGUGUUUGUUCUCUCACCCACACCCCAGAGGAGAAGCAUGUGCAAUGGAGUGUCUUGUUUUGGCAGGUUUUGCAUGCACUCAGAUAGAGAGACAGAGAAACAGAGAGAAGGCAAGGUCCAUAAAUAAUGAACUUGCUUAUGAUGUUGCAUCUCAGUGGGGAGAAGUCAAGACAGUUUUCAGGUUUAGCAUGAAAUCGACCACCAGGCCCAUCACUUAAGCCAAAAAUGUCAAUAUUAAGACACAGCAAGUAAUUAAUCUUUUAGUUCAUCUGGCCCUACUGUGCCACCUUUAUUCUCCUGGAGUAGUGCCUUACUGUACUAUGGAGUUACUCACAGAACAAAGUACUAUUCAAUGUGAAUAAGGUGGAGAAUUUGGCCCUUUGCGGUUAAGGAUCUCUGACUCGAUUUAAUGUCUGACAAUAUUUCUUUUUAGUGGAGACAGUACCGAUAUUUCAACAAAAGUCACCUUCUCAGUGUUACAAAGUCAAUUUGUAAACUCAAGUCCGGGAGGUAGGGACCAUAUGGAUGGCUUAUAUAUGGAAAGAGAAAACAUAUGAGGAAAGUGCUAGCAGUUCAGCAAUUAAAUGUACUGUGGGGUUCUCAGGCAGUCACAUAAGCUAUUUCCAGUCUUGGUUUACUGUCAUAAGCCCCAAUUCAGUAAAGUAGGAGAGAAUACUCACGUUGUGAAUUAACUGAAGUUCUUCGAGAACUAUACCCCUGUGGGUGCUUCACUUCAGGUGACCAGGUACGCAUGCACUUUUGAGCGGAGAUUUUUGGUAGCAUUGCCUGUAUGGCCCAUGCAUGUGCCCUGCACAUCCUCAUGCCCCAUACCAAGGCUCUAUAGGGUUGCAUGUGUGAACUGCCCUCAGUUCCUUCUGCACCACAAAGCCUAUAAGGGAAAACUUUGAAGCAGAGGGGAAGCACUUACAGGGGGACACAUCUCAACAGUUGUUCUUUACUGCACAAGGUGAGUAACUUCUCCUUCCUCUUUGAGUAGUGUCCCUAUGGGUGUCCCACUUCAGGUGACUGCCCAGCAGUAUCCCCAGCAGGAAGAGGAAGCUUCAGAACAGAGACUUGUCUUUAAGACAGAACUACGUUCCAACUACAGCGUUGGAUCUAGAGGCAUGAACCAGAAUAUAAUGGUUGGAGAAAGUAUGUACAGAGGUACAAGUGACAGUUCUGCAGACUUCAGUAAAUGCCGCAUUACUUAAAUAUGUUCCAAAUGUAGAUUGUGACCUUGAAAAAUAAGCUAACACUCCAGAAGGAGGCAGAGUCAUAAUAUGAAAUAAUACACCCCAAGUCCAUCUCGAGAGUCUCCGGGUGGAGACUGCAGAUCCCUUGGACCUGUCCAUAACUGAAAUAAGUAGUCUAGGAGACUUUUGGAAAGAUUUGGUUCUGCCCAGAUAGAAGGCUAAUGCUCUUCUGACCCCUAAAUUAUGGAAGGCAGAUUCCUGCCUAGAGUGAUAUGGUUUCAGAAAAAAAAACUGGAAGGUGAAUAGUCUGGUUUAUGAGAAAUUCAGAGGACACCUGAAAUGUGGGAUGUAGCCACAAUGGAACCUUGUCCUUCAAAAACAAAAACAAAAACACCUCUAUGAAAGGAGGAUCCACCAUGAAAGCCCCCAGUUCUCUGACUCUCUGGAUGGAAGUGAUGGUCACCAUGGAAACUGUUUCCAUAGAUAGGUGAAGCAAUGAACACAUACUUACUGACUCAAAGAGGGGUUUCAUAAGUCUACUAAGAAAAAGGUUCAAAUCCCAUACAGGGGUAGGUUCUCUAAUCUGUGGGGAAAAGUUCACAGGGCCUGUGAUAAGCCUUGAAGUUAUGGGGUGAGGGGAAAAAACCCCACAAACCUUCUAUCAGUGAGUGAAAGGCUGUGAUAGUGGCCAAAUGAACCUUGACAGAACUUGUGUCAAGAUCUGAUCAUUUUAAUUUCGACAGGUGGUCAACAGCGGUGGAAAGAGAAGAGUCAACUGGAGAAACUUGUCGACGGGUAAAGUGGUGGUGAAAUCUCUUCUAUUUCUGGAGGUAAUUCUCUCCCGCAGAUGUUUUUCUGCUGUUAAAUAAUACCUGUUGUACCUCUAUUUAACAGAAGGCCGCCAUACAUGAAAACCAUCCAAGAGCUAUACGUGGAGUCGCAGAUUGGAGUGAAGUGUCUGACCGGAAUGCUAAGACAACAGAGUGCAACUGGUUGGAAGUUUCAAUGGUGGACAAGAAGCAGUUGAAGGAGUGGCAAAAAGGUCCACUUCUGGAAAUCCUCAAGUUAAAAAUAGGCUAUUGAGGACUCAUGAAUACAAAUGUCACUUGUAACUCUGGGAGAAGUGUCUGCUGAAGUCAUUGGCCAUGAUGUUCUGCAUACCCAGAAGGGGUAUAAAUCCCGAGGGAAUUGGAGAGCAGUCCUUGAGUCCUUCAAGCCAAGGUGUGAAGGGAGUCAUCCAUAGACUUUGCAAACUAUUUAUGACUGUCAAAAGGAAGGUCCUCACCUCAGUAGUACUCUGCACCUCCCUAGGGAAGCCCAACAGCUAUAAGCAAGAUGCUUGCCGCAUCAUAACUGCGUUGGAAAUACAUCAGGAUGCAGCAUCUGCUGCAUCUAAGGAAGCCUGCAAUGGUGUUCUUACUAAAAGUUGGCCCUUCUGGAUAAAGGCCUUGAAUUGCUCACAAUGUUCCUCUGGUAGAUGGUUAAUAAAGGCAUUAAAUGUA